GAAUUACUGGGCGUAAAGCGUGCGUAGGUGGUGGUUUAAGUCUGUUGUGAAAGCCCUGGGCUCAACCUGGGAAUUGCAGUGGAUACUGGAUCACUAGAGUGUGGUAGAGGGUAGCGGACUUCCCGGUGUAGCAGUGAAAUGCGUAGAGAUCGGGAGGAACAUCCGUGGCGAAGGCGGCUACCUGGACCAACACUGACACUGAGGCACGAAAGCGUGGGGAGCAAACAGGAUUAGAUACCCUGGUAGUCCACGCCCUAAACGAUGCGAACUGGAUGUUGGGUGCAAUUUGGCACGCAGUAUCGAAGCUAACGCGUUAAGUUCGCCGCCUGGGGAGUACGGUCGCAAGACUGAAACUCAAAGGAAUUGACGGGGGCCCGCACAAGCGGUGGAGUAU
rnacentral:rRNA from 1 species